GUGAACUUAGGGAAUGGGUGAGAGCUCGGCUAAGCUUCACAGAUGAAUCCCAUGCACUCUGGAAAUUUCAGUGUGAAUAAGGACUAAAAUGGACGGCCAUAUGACACCGAGAAUGAAAUCUCUGCCGACUUUGUCUCCUGAGCGCAACAAGAAGGCAGUCUUCUACUCAGAUAGGACUCAAAACAACAAAGGAGUAAACUUUGAUUGUUCGUGAAAAGGGAGUAUACACGUCAGCUGUGAGAACCCAAAGGCUCUGGGUCAGUCUGCACCUGCUGCUGAGAACAGCAGUUGGACUGCAAAUGAAGACAGCCCUUUAAAGUGAUUACUGACACUUGGAUACAAAGGGUGCCGAGAAGAGAUUUGCUGUACAUGUCUGUUCCUGACCUAAGGCUGUUUCUUCGAGGUCUGCACUGGAGAGCUCCAAGUUCUAUGGCUCAGGGAAUUCCCUCAACCUACCUGCUGGCUCACUACCCUUGCCACAGUGGCAGAAAACCCCACCUUUUCUCCACUCUUGACCUCCAGAGGUGCUGCCCUAUCUGAAUAUCCUUAGGGUUCCAAAGCAUGGAUACCUCCCUGCCAGGUAUA